UCUGUAGGCGGCGCAGCAAGUCAGAUGUGAAAGCCCGGGGCUCAACCCCGGAACUGCAUCCGAUACUGCUGUGCUGGAGGAUCGGAGGGGAGUCUGGAAUUCACGGUGUAGCAGUGAAAUGCGUAGAUAUCGUGAGGAACACUAGUGGCGAAGGCGAGACUCUGGACGAUUCCUGAGCUGAGAGACGAAGGCCAGGGGAGACAAAAA
rnacentral:rRNA from 1 species